GAUGAACGCUGGCGGCGUGCCUAAUACAUGCAAGUCGAGCGAACAGACGAGGAGCUUGCUCCUCUGACGUUAGCGGCGGACGGGUGAGUAACACGUGGAUAACCUACCUAUAAGACUGGGAUAACUUCGGGAAACCGGAGCUAUACCGGAUAAUAUAUUGAACCGCAUGGUUCAAUAGUGAAAGACGGUUUUGCUGUCACUUAUAGAUGGAUCCGCGCCGCAUUAGCUAGUUGGUAAGGUAACGGCUUACCAAGGCAACGAUGCGUAGCCGACCUGAGAGGGUGAUCGGCCACACUGGAACUGAGACACGGUCCAGACUCCUACGGGAGGCAGCAGUAGGGAAUCUUCCGCAAUGGGCGAAAGCCUGACGGAGCAACGCCGCGUGAGUGAUGAAGGUCUUCGGAUCGUAAAACUCUGUUAUUAGGGAAGAACAAAUGUGUAAGUAACUAUGCACGUCUUGACGGUACCUAAUCAGAAAGCCACGGCUAACUACGU
rnacentral:rRNA from 1 species